rnacentral:rRNA from 1 species
UACGGAAGGUCCGGGCGUUAUCCGGAUUUAUUGGGUUUAAAGGGAGCGUAGGCCGGAGAUUAAGCGUGUUGUGAAAUGUAGACGCUCAACGUCUGCACUGCAGCGCGAACUGGUUUCCUUGAGUACGCACAAAGUGGGCGGAAUUCGUGGUGUAGCGGUGAAAUGCUUAGAUAUCACGAAGAACUCCGAUUGCGAAGGCAGCUCACUGGAGCGCAACUGACGCUGAAGCUCGAAAGUGCGGGUAUCGAACAGGAUUAGAUACCCCGUCCGGCUGACUGACU